rnacentral:rRNA from 1 species
CAGCCGCCGCGGUAAUACGUAGGUGGCAAGCGUUGCCCGGAAUUAUUGGGCGUAAAGGGCUCGCAGGCGGCUUCUUAAGUCUGAUGUGAAAGCCCCCGGCUCAACCGGGGAGGGUCAUUGGAAACUGGGAAACUUGAGUGCAGAAGAGGAGAGUGGAAUUCCACGUGUAGCGGUGAAAUGCGUAGAGAUGUGGAGGAACACCAGUGGCGAAGGCGACUCUCUGGUCUGUAACUGACGCUGAGGAGCGAAAGCGUGGGGAGCGAACAGGAUUAGAUACCCCGGUAGUCCCUGUCUCUUAUAC